AGCCACUAUCCCACACAAUGAAGCCAUGGAAGGGACCUCUGCUGCAAAUUUUUCAAGCCUCCCUACUCCAUCCCGAAGGCUACCUCAGAUAAGGCGGUG